rnacentral:ncRNA from 2 species
GGUGUGCUCCGGGGUCGGUGUAAUUCCGAGCCGGCGGUUAAAGUCCGCGAGCCGCUUCGGCGGUUGAGCUGGUGAAACUCCAGCACCGACGGUUAAAGUCCGGAUGGGAGGAGCUCGCU